rnacentral:rRNA from 1 species
UACAGAGGGUGCGAGCGUUGUUCGGAAUUAUUGGGCGUAAAGCGCAUGUAGGCGGUCUGUUAAGUCGCGUGUGAAAUCUUCCGGCUCAACCGGAAAAGUGCGCGCGAAACUGGCGGACUUGAGUGCCGGAGAGGGUGGCGGAAUUCCCGGUGUAGAGGUGAAAUUCGUAGAUAUCGGGAGGAACACCAGAGGCGAAGGCGGCCACCUGGACGGACACUGACGCUGAGACGCGAAAGCGUGGGGAGCAAACAGG